UUAAUCUGGAAAUUUAGCACUUCAACAACCCAUAACUCGCUUAUUAGACCACUUAAAAAUUUCAGUUGCCACUUUUUCUCACUCUUAUAAUGAUCUUAACAUUUAUAUUGAAAAAGAUCAUCCAAUUUAAAUGAUAGAAAAGUGUACCGAACUGCCUUAAUAAACACUUUUUAAUUACUAAUUCGCACAAAAAAAAAAACAGUUUCUAGACAAUUUCUUCAUCUUUUUCAUUUAAUAUUAUUGAAUGUUAUCUAUUUAUUUAUUUAUCUAUUAAUAACCAUUGCAUUACAUCAAAAGUUUCGGGAAUAAUCCCAUUUGAUAGGUAAUUUGUCAGUACUAAUUUAUUAAUUUAUCACAUUGUGUACAAAUACUUAACAUGAGGAAAGGCACAACAGGUUCAUGCCCAAAACUGUCCCAUUUCCAAUUUAUACUAUACUGUCCAAAUCAAAAUGUUGGUUAUGUCACUUCCACUUUUCAAAAUACAAUUUAUGCUCUUCAAUACUCAGAUAAACAAGAAAAUUUUGAAUCAAAUAGAUACUAUUAUAGAGUCUUACAUAACGUAAUAGUUAUUCAAAAAGUCUAAAUUUUGAAUGAAACUAGAAAUUUUUGAGCUAAAAACUUCACACUUUACAGAAAACUAAUGCGAAUCUAUCUUGGAUAGAUGAUGACACAUUUUUAUACAGUACUCACAUUUUUAUGCAGUACAGUUUGAAACAUCCCUGUGGGUUGGGGGAGCCCUGAGUUGACCACCUGACUCAGCAAUUUGUCACACCAGAAUAGGCCCACAGUAUCCCGGCUUGUCGUAGGAGGCGACUAACGGGACCCCUUUACAAAGCUCUUCUUCCCUCUCCCUUCUUCUCUUCUAUAUGCUUUGGAACUUUCAAAUUUCUAGAAUGGCACUAUUUCCAUUGACUUGGCUUUGUGCCAUUCUUACUUUAUUCUUUCUGUCGGCCUCCCUUGGCCAUAUUCUUCUUCUUUUUCUGGUCCUCCAAAUUGGGGGUUGGUCGUAGAACUUAAGACUCUACACUGUAAAAAACAAAUUUUAAAGAAGAAACGGCGAUCCUUAGAAUGACAGGUCCUGAUGCAACAAAUAUUCCUGGAGGUAAAACAGUCCCCUAUUCAGAUCUCCAGGAGGGGACAGUAUUGGGAGGUGUGGAGCAGGACCUUAGAGUGAUGGGAGUGAGAAACUGGAGAGAGUUGUGUCAGGAUCGACCGAGAUGGAGGAGAAUCGUAGCGGAGGCCAAGGCCCACAGAUGGCUGUUGUAGCGCCAUAGGGUAAGGAAGAUGUGAGAGAAUGAAAGAAUGGUGUUUACACUGCAUUUGGUUUGGCAAACCUUCCAAAACCUUAUAGAAGGAUUAAUUUGGCGGUGCAAUCCAUUAAGAAGGCACUGGAAUUAUACCCGAAUUUUCUUAACCAUUAUGUUGGUGUGAUCUGCUAUCGCUAUAUGAAGGAGCUGUACGAGAAAACUGCUAGUAACGCGGAAAUAAUACAAGCGAUAAAGAACUGGCUGCGCACUGCGCCACAGCGAGCAAAUUCGAAAAUGUGAGUAUUAUUGAUCACAUCUCUGAAAUAUCUGUUAAUUCAUAUCCCAGUUGAUGGAACAGAUGUUGGCAGUUGAACGCAUAUAUUAUAAUAUAAUAGGCAACAAAACGUUUCCCCUUGUCUCCAACCGUUGCGCGGUGUCACUUUGACAUGAGCAGACAAGAAGCGACGAGGCAAGAUUGUAGAAUGAAGCGACAAAUAGAAGCAAGACAGCCUUUUCUCAGUAGCAUGGAGUAUACUGAGAAAUUAUUUUUAUUGCUAUUUUAAUCAAUCAUUUAGUUCAAAUCUUUCUAAUAUUGUUUAAUAUAUUUAACAGUAGUUAUGUAUGUUUACUACAUUCUAAUAACAUAGUUUCACCUCCCAAAACUGAAGUACAAUCAUUAUUAUAAUUAAUACGGUUCAUAUUUAAUAUUAAUAUGGUUCAAUAUUAAUAUAGUUCAUGAUUAUUGGUGGAUUCACGGAUUCAUCGGCAGCCUUGAUUGUGGGCUGAUUAGUUUGCGCUUUCCUCCCCUUCCCCCUCUCCCAAAGAGGCAAGAUAACCUCUCUCCCUCACCCCACCUUCAUCCUUCCCGUUUAUCUUUCCACAUGGUCCGACCAGGCGCCGGAUAUGUUCUAUUUCCAAGAGAUUUAUUUUUCAAUUUAAAUUUCAAUUCGUUAAUAGUAGAGUUACUUGUUGAUACAUGCACUGAUAUCCAUGUUAAAUCCAGUUACAAAGCUCCUUUCCAAAUCUCCUUGUUUAUCUAA